rnacentral:lncRNA from 1 species
CCUUGCAGAAGGCACAGUGCUCUGUAAUCAGGCACUUUGGUGGCUGGAUACAGCUGUUCUGUGGAGUUUUUGAGGAACAGAAAGCUAUGCCAAAAGCAGCACGAGACGCAGAAGAGGACUGGAAGAUGCUCUGUCCUGCUUUUGCCUUGACCC